GAAAUCUGCUGUUACAGCCUGCGCGAUGCUCAAACAGGUUCAACGACAGAAGCCUACUUCACCCUCCUCUUAUAGGUCAUUACGGCAGUGGGAAAACGAAGGAGGAUGGACAUGUUCCACACGCAGCCUGAACUCGUUCUUUGGGAAGCAGCAUAUAUACCAGUACACUGAAAAGCAUGGAGCCGGAAAGCACAAGGAUGAUGGCUCUUCACGUCCGGUCACGUUUAGGAACUGAAGUUUUUCGAAGAUGAUUGCAGCCCAGAUACACUGGUCCGGGCUGAUAUACUUGCAAGCAUGCAGACCUCUGUUACCUACAGAGUGAGGACAGUGAUUGACAAAGCAACUGGAAAUAUC